CGGGUGAGUAACGCGUGAGGAACCUGCCUCAAAGAGGGGGACAACAGUUGGAAACGACUGCUAAUACCGCAUAAGCCCACAGCUCGGCAUCGAGCAGAGGGAAAAGGAGCAAUCCGCUUUGAGAUGGCCUCGCGUCCGAUUAGCUAGUUGGUGAGGUAACGGCCCACCAAGGCAACGAUCGGUAGCCGGACUGAGAGGUUGAACGGCCACAUUGGGACUGAGACACGGCCCAG
rnacentral:rRNA from 1 species